rnacentral:rRNA from 1 species
UACAGAGGGGGCUAGCGUUGUUCGGAAUUACUGGGCGUAAAGCGCGCGUAGGCGGACCUGCAAGUCGGGGGUGAAAGCCCGAGGCUCAACCCCGGAACUGCCUUUAAAACUGCAUCGCUUGAAUCCGGGAGAGGUGAGUGGAAUUCCGAGUGUAGAGGUGAAAUUCGUAGAUAUUCGGAAGAACACCAGUGGCGAAGGCGGCUCACUGGACCGGCAUUGACGCUGAGGUGGCGAAAGCGUGGGAGCAAACAGG